rnacentral:sRNA from 1 species
GCUGGGCGCAGUGGUGCACACCUGUAAUCCCAGUGGCUUGGGAGGCUGAGGCAGGAGGAUCGAAAGUUCAAAGCCAGCCUUAGCAAGUUAGCGAGUCCCUAAGCAAUUCAGUGAGACCCUGUCUCUA